UGUUGGUGUGGUUAACAGUACUUUUCUUUUAUUUAUGUUGUGGUUCUCAAAUCAGAUGUUAUUUGUCACAUACACCGAAUACAACAGGUGUAGACAUCACAGUGAAAUGCUUACUGACAAGCCCUUAACCAAUUAAAAAACAGUAACAAUGAAAGAGCAGCAGUAAAAUAACAACCGCGGGGCUAUUCUGCAGGUGUUAAUUAAGGUUGUUCAGGCUAUGUAUGUCCAACAGCAGCUUUUUGCUUUGACAGUAACAGCCAGGGGAUAGUGUGGUGUCGCUUCCAUAAACAUGCAGUUGCUGGAUUUCAAUGGAACCCAUGUUAUGUACAAACUAACGGCCACACAACCAAAUAUCUUAUUUUCAAAACCUUCAGAGCUCUCGGACUUCAAGAUGUGAUGCAGAUUCCCAAAUCAAUUACGCACCUAACAUCUUCAAUCUUAGAAUGAUGAACAGUCCAUAUCAGUUAUUACUGUCAUUUUAACCAAUCUGCAAUCUGAACCAAUACUCAUAAAUGACUACACUAUUGCAUCAAGUGAUUUCCAGUAAAGAUUGGGUCUGUUUUAACAGAUAAAAUAGGAGUUAUCAGUGAAUAAGUAAUUGACGAUGAGCAGAUGUUCGGGACGGGGACUCAUUUAAAUGUUACACAACCCUCUGUUCAUUAUGAGGUGGCAGUGUGUCAGUCUAUUUUGACCCCCAUCUGUAGAGGUGGCAGGUGUUCCUUCAGUCCCUCAAAGAGCAGGUUUUAUAUCCCUCCUCAAGUUAGUUGCUUGGUUUCCAUGGAGAUUCCCAACAGAAAGAGGCUUGUUUUGAGGGGCCUGGGCUGGGGAAGGGGAGGCUUUACUAGCUGGCUGCUCUCUGGUCUUCAGUUUGACUUGAAAAAAAGGGAAAAUCAAGCCAACACAGAAAACAACCUAGCAUUGUCUCCUGAUUUUAUGCAGGGUUUAUAACAGUGAUCUUCUCUGUGGAUUAAGAAAGACUGGACUGUCCAAAUCUCCCCAGCCAUGCUCGGAUCCUCUCAAAUUCGUCAUACUCUCUUUUUGAAAUGAACCAAUUUGAGGUACAGCAUAUCUAAAGAUUUUAUACACUGUACAUUUAGAAUUAGACGAUCAGAAAAGUACCAUUGCUUAUAGGUCAUUGACCUGAGACCCAACAGUAGAUGUCUAGUUUACCUCAACAGAGUGCAGGAGCCAUGAUCAAAACAUCAGCAAAUGGGAAGUGUCCAACCAAGAGGUCUACUGUUCUACUUUAUCUCUCCAGCCAGGCUUAUGUUAUCACUUUAUCCAUGCUAAGCCUCGGGUUAAAAAGACAAACUGUCUUAACCCCACAGCUUUCAGGCUGCUAAAAGGCUGCCAAUUAUAUGUCUUAUUCAUAACUGUCAAACUCUCUUGCCAAACUUUGUCAUAUGGUGGCAUUCAGGGCAAUGACAGUGGUCUCGUCUGAAAAACAAGAGACUUGUAAAUUCCCAAAAGGGUGGGUUUGGUUAACAAACUACAUUCCACGUAUUGCGCUUGAAACUGUCAUGACAGAUUCUGUGGUAUACUGGUACAAAGGUAUUCGCUUCGACUGGUGUUGUGUUUCAACUGUAAUGUGGGUGUAUUUAAAUGUUUCAACAAGAGAUGAUUAACGUGGCGGUAAAGCUGCAAAACAGGCUUUAUUCUUCUUCAUCCUGAGGAGAGAACAGAGAAGUUGAGGGGGACUAAACUCAAAGAGCAUAUAAAUCACUGGCUUUGUUUAUCGGUUCAUGUUCCACCAUUACUGUUGUUCUAUACCUCUGUGUUAUAACACCUUUACCUCUGUGUUAUAACACCUUUACCUCUGUGUCAUAACACCUUUACAUCUGAGUUAUAGAACCUUUAUCUCUGAGUUAAAGAACCUUUAUUUAGGAGUUAUAGCACUUUUACCUAUGUGUUAUAACACAUUUAUCUCUGUAUUAUAACAAAUGUACCUCUGUGUUGUAACACCUUUAUCACUGUUAUAACACCUUUCCCUCUGUGUUAUAUCACAUUUUCCUCUAUGUUAUAACACAUUUAUCUCUGUCGUCUAAAACCUUUUACUCUGUCUUAUAACACAUUUAUCUCUGCGUCAUAAAACAUUAACCUCUGUGUUAUAACACCUUUACCUCUGUGUUAUAACACCUUUACCUCUGAGUUAUAGCACCUUUACCUCUGUGUUAUAACACCUUUACCUAAUCAAAUCAAAUCAAAUGUAUUUAUAUAGCCCUUCGUACAUCAGCUGAUAUCUCAAAGUGAUGUACAGAAACCCAGCCUAAAACCCCAAACAGCAAGCAAUGCAGGUGUAGAAGCACAGUGGCUAGGAAAAACUCCCUAGAAAGGCCAAAACCUAGGAAGAAACCUAGAGAGGAACCAGGCUAUGUGGGGUGGCCAGUCCUCUUCUGGCUGUGCCGGGUGGAGAUUAUAACAGAAAAUGGCCAAGAUGUUCAAAUGUUCAUAAAUGACCAGCAUGGUCCAAUAAUAAUAAGGCAGAACAGUUGAAACUGGAGCAGCAGCACGGCCAGGUGGACUGGGGACAGCAAGGAGUCAUCAUGUCAGGUAGUCAUGAGGCAUGGUCCUAGGGCUCAGGUCCUCCGAGAGAGAGAAAGAAAGAGAGAAAGAGAGAAUUAGAGAGAGCACACUUAAAUUCACACAGGACACCGAAUAGGACAGGAGAAGUACUCCAGAUAUAACAAACUGACCCUAGCCCCCCGACACAUAAACUACUGCAGCAUAAAUACUGCAGCAUAAAUACUGGAGGCUGAGACAGGAGGGGUUAGGAGACACUGUGGCCCCAUCCGAGGACACCCCCGGACAGGGCCAAACAGGAAGGAUAUAACCCCACCCACUUUGCCAAAGCACAGCCCCCACACCACUAGAGGGAUAUCUUCAACCACCAACCUACCAUCCUGAGACAAGGCUGAGUAUAGCCCACAAAGAUCUCCGCCACGGCACAACCCAAGGGGGGCGCCAACCCAACCUCUGUUAUAAAACAUUUUCCUUUGUGUUAUAACACAUUUAUAUCUGUGUUAUAACACCUUUACCUCUGUGUUAACACCUUGACCGCUGUAUUAUAACACAUUCAUCUCUGUUAUAACACAUUUUCUCUUUUUUUCUCUGUGUAAUAACACCUUUAACUCUGUGUCAUAACAAAUUUAUCUGUGUGUUAUAACACCUUUUUCUCUGUUAUAUCACCUUUUCCUGUGUUAGAACACAUUUACCUCUUUGUUAUAACACCUUUUCCUAUGAGUUAUAACACAUUUAUCUCUGUGUUAUAUCACCUUUACCUCCAUGUUAUAACACUUUUAACUCUGUGUUAUAACACAUUUAGCUCUGUUGUAACACAUUUUCAUCUGUGUUAUAACAGCUUUACCUCUGUUAUUACACCUUGACCUCUGUGUUAUAACACCUUUACCUCUGUGUCAUAAAACAUUAACCUCUGUGUUAUAACACAUGUAUCUCUGUGUUAUAACACCUUUACCUCUGUUAUAAAAUAUUUUCAUUUGUGUUAUAACACAUGUAUCUCUGUGUUAUAACACCUUUAACUCUGUGUCAUAACAAAGUUAGCUCUGUGUUAUAACACCUUUACCUCUACGUUAUAACACAUGUACCUCUAUGUUAUAACACAUUUACCUCUUUGUUAUAACACCUUUACCAAUGUGUUAUAACACAUUUUCCUAUGCGUUAUAACACAUUUAUCUCUCUGUUAUAUCACCUUUACCUCCAUGUUAUAACACUUUUACCUUUGUGUUAUAACACAUUUAUCUUACAUGUAUAAUUUAUUGUAACACAUUUUCCUCUGUGUUAUAACAGCUUUACCUCUGUGUUAUUACACCUUGACCUCUGUGUUAUGCCUGAAUCUAUAGUAAUAGAACAGCAAACGUAUGGAAGUAGAAAAGAGGAAUGCUGAUGAAUAAUGAAAUUAACAUUCAUAGAUUUAAAGAUAGGAGAAGCCCAAGCGUAUAUGCCAUGUGCUUACGCUUCAUCUUUGUAGAGUAUUUUGACUUAUGACUUUUGACAGUAUUGUGCGACAGUUAUCCAGGUUUUCAAAGUUACAAUCACUCCUAGCAGGGUUAUGGGUGUGUGUGUGUGCUUGCGUGUGUGCAUGUGUUUGCAUAAGUGUGUGUCUGUGCUUACUUACCCCACACAACGGAGGAAUUUAAUUGGCUAUUUUGCAGUCCAAUAACGAGUAUGCAUUCGAAUGUAUUCAAUCUGGGCGAUGGUUCUCAGUGCUAAUUUAAAGCAGACAAUGAUGAUGCUAAAAUGCCACAUUUACAGUUAUUGGUUGAGAAUACAUUGUCUGCAUUGUGUGCUUUGUAAUGCUAAUGAUGAUUGGCUAGGGUGGACUUGGAUUGGGUUGGGC
ensembl:lncRNA